CUUCAAAAACCUCCUGAAGUGGAGAAUUCGGAAAAUGAUGCAAGUGCUGUAAUUGCCCUGCAAGACCAUCAAAGCAGUGGAACACAUGGUUCACCUCACCAUGAAGAACCCUAAGACAUUCAAAACCAAGACAUCUACCAUCAACCUCGAGCCAUCCACCACCAAACAUGAGCCUCUACCAUUCCUUCAAAGAGAGUUGGCCCAUGGUUCCCAAAAAAAGGGCCGAUGCUGCUUACUGAGUUAAGGGACACCAGCAAGAAUCAAGACCAUAGAGCAG